GCGAACGCUGGCGGCAGGCCUAACACAUGCAAGUCGAACGGAUCCUUCGGGAUUAGUGGCGGACGGGUGAGUAACACGUGGGAACGUGCCUUUUGGUUCGGAAUAACUCAGGGAAACCUGUGCUAAUACCGAAUGUGCCCUUCGGGGGAAAGAUUUAUCGCCAUUAGAGCGGCCCGCGUCUGAUUAGCUAGUUGGUAGGGUAAAGGCCUACCAAGGCUACGAUCAGUAGCUGGUCUGAGAGGAUGAUCAGCCACACUGGGACUGAGACACGGCCCAGACUCCUACGGGAGGCAGCAGUGGGGAAUCUUGCGCAAUGGGCGAAAGCCUGACGCAGCCAUGCCGCGUGAAUGAUGAAGGUCUUAGGAUUGUAAAAUUCUUUCACCGGGGACGAUAAUGACGGUACCCGGAGAAGAAGCCCCGGCUAACUUCGU
rnacentral:rRNA from 1 species